UCUUGUAUAGUAUAAUAGUAUACGACUGUCAGGUUAAGUUUAUCUGACAUUCAUUAGCUCUUCGAUUCCACGUAAUUAACGUUGGAUGAUACGAAAUAUCGCAUUAUCGCCCGUUUUUUAAGCUGCUCCGAGAAACGCGCAUCCUCGCCCGAGUAAAUUUGUAUCUUCGUAUCUUUGAUCUUGGAAAUCCCGUGACGCAACCGUCGAACGUAAAUCGCAUGAAAUUCUGUUCGCGAGAACGGUAUGCCCAGUAUGCUGAUGCUCGACCCGCCGGAAUGCUCUUGGUGAUCGCACGGUAGAAGUCGCCAGGUUGAGAGUGUUGAGACAUUAGUGUUGGGAUAUGGCGAUGCUUAGCUCAUUCCGCUCGGUGCGGAGCAGAUUCGCAGUGGUCGGGAGUUUUUGACCCGUGAAUUUAGCGGAUCGAGAGCAAGCGAUCGAUCGAGUUUGUGACCGUUAGAUUUUAUUUCGUAUGUGUCCCACGUUGGAGGUCAUUUUGUGUACGCUCCUGCGUGAAAACAUAACCUCGCGGGAAGACGCAGAAAUAUUCGAGAAAGAUUCCUUCUCGACGUUACCUUUUGAAGAACGGGGGAAAGAUACGUCUGUUUAUUUCGUCAACGAAAUGUUUGCAAACACGUAGCUAGCAACAAAGAAGAAAGUAAUUUGAGAUUAACGAGAAAAGGUUUUCCCCAUCAUCAGUUUCACGAUGUCUUUCGACAUGAUGACGCGAAUAUUUAUUAAUCAGUUCACGGAUCUUGUAGAUGAGUGUAAGACUGAAGAAGCUACACAACUUUUGAAGAAGGAUCGCCAGAUUACUGAGAACGGCUUAAGCGCCAUUAUGUCUGCUAUUGUUUCGAAUAUCACAAACUCUGCAUUACAACAUAAAAAGGCAACAUUCGAAUGCUGUUCAAACGUACUGAUGUUUAUAGCUGAGAAUUGUGAGCCCACGAUAACUAUACUAGAAUUAUCGAGAUGCUUGAGACAGGCGGGCGACCAUGAGAAUUUCUCUGCCAUUUUAAAUGCAACACUUUCUUGCAUGAUGAGAAUACGAAACAAGCGAAACAAGCGCAGGGACAUUGGUUGGAGUUUAGAUUCGAUUUUAACAUACAUCAAGAAUCUACCACUGCCAGAUGACGUCGAUGAUCCAGAAGAAGCUAGCGACAGAAUUAUACAUACAUAUAAGGCAAUCACAGUAUUUCUGAAACCAUUGAUGCAAGAGGCAAUAAAUACUGAUUCUCAACAGGAGAAAGGUUCUCGUUUCAAGAAAAAACUCUUAAGUUUUCUUAUUUCUCUUUGCGGGAAACCUUUUUGCUACUUGAACAAAUAUAUUAGUGAAGAAGCAGUAUAUGAAGAACUCGCGAGUGAUAUAGUGACACAAGCACUUUGUCUCACUGGGGAUAUAUUAUAUUUUUUAGAUGUUGUUAGCAAAAGACGUAAAAAAUCUUUCUAUACACCGCGCGUGCAACAUAAAAAAGCUCAAUUAAAAAAAAGUUAUUAUUUUCUAGAACCUUUUUGGGUUACCAAAAUAUCAAGUAUGGCUUUCGCUAAUUUUUACUUUCAUGUAAUUACCAAAGAAAAAUAUUGGAUAAAUGUACCACAAGUAUAUAAUUCUUAUUAUAUCCUUGAAACGUGUGCAUAUUUUUUUCAAAUAUUGCUCAGUAAAAAUUAUUCAAUCCCCACUGGUUUAAUGUUCAUGGAAAACGUUAUAAAACGCAUUUUGCCUCGUUCUGUAGACUCUGAAACGUUGGAGUUGAAUAUAUAUACAGAUUUAUUUCAACCAAUUAUUCAAGUGAUGAUUUACUCUGAUAGUGAUGAACAACGAAAGAAGGCAGUACAUAUUUUUCAAGAGUAUAUUGAGAUAUUCAACAUGGAAGCUAGAUAUACCGUUAUCUCAUAUCUUUACGAGACCGCCAAACAUUCCGGCCUGCUGAGUUUCAUCACUGGCAUGUUUAAAUCUUCUAUCAUUGAAUGUCUCGAUUCAACUCCGCGAAAUCCACAAUUUCUCGGAAAGAAUAUGGAAUCGUUAUUGAAAAGCGUUUGUAAGCUACCACAUGGAAGUUCGUCUGAUAUGGUAGAAAUAUCAGAUGAAAUCAUUACUGCGCUAAACUUGCUAAGAUUCUUGUUUAUCAGGGAUAAGAAGAAUGAGACAGGUAUUUGGAAUAUGAUAAAUAUGCUCAAAAAUGAUUAUCUAAAUCCAUUAAGAGAAGGGAUAGACUUAUGCAAAGCACAUUGGAGAGUGAAUAUAAAAGACUUGGAGCAACAAAAAAAGGAUUUAGCUAAAGUACAAGAUUAUAGCAAGCUAAUGAAGGCCCAUAGAGAAGUUACAUUAACCGUUGGUGGUGAACAAUUACCAUUUAUGCCAGUUCCAGAGAAAAUUGUCAUCUGUCAUCAAGUGAUAAAUGGUUUAGAUGUAAUGGUUUUAGACAUUUAUGGACUUCCAGUGCUUUGUCGACCGAUCAGUCUGAAAAUAAUAAUAGAAAAGCGGAACCGCAACAAUCUAUUCAUGAGGAAAAUGAUGAAGAAUAUGAGAAAAAUAUUAAAAUAAAAAUACUUGACGCUUCUUUAAAAUUUGUUCCUAAUAUGGGAUGGAGCAAACAGGCUAUUAGUGCUGGUGCUGAGUCGAUCGGAUAUCCAGGCGUGAUACACGGACUGUUUCCAAAUGGUAGCGCGGCUUUAGUGCAGUAUUUUUACCUUACCUGCAACCAGGAAUUGAAUCAAAUCCUGGAGAAAGAGGCAUUGGCCAUCGAAGCAGAUUCCUCGAAACCACGGAAGACACCAGAACAGCAUGUUCGAGACGCCGUGGAAACACGGUUGAGAAUGGUGAUCCCCUACAAAAAAAGCUGGCCGCAAGCGAUAGCUAUUAUGACUCUACCACCGAACGUACCGACUUCUUUGGCAAAUUUAUUAACUUUAGUUGACGAUAUCUGCUACUAUGCUGGCGAUAGAUCUGUUGAUAUCAACUGGUAUGCCAGAAGAAUGAUACUGGCGACUAUUUACAAAACUACUGAAUUAUACAUGUUGCAAGAUACAAGUGAAGAUCAUA